rnacentral:tRNA from 1 species
GAAUUAAUAAGCUUUUAUAGCAUUUCACUUACACUGAAAUGAAUCUAAUAA